rnacentral:lncRNA from 1 species
UGUAGCUUUAAAUCUAUAAUAAAUAUAAGAAGAUGUGGUGUGAGUGCCAAUGAGACAACUCUCCAUCCAAAUAACAAAUUUAUAAAAGUAAACCAUUAUAGGUCAAUGUACGGCCUUCAACACGGAGCCUUGGCUCACACCGAACAAAAAGCUAUAAAGGGCUCAAAAAUAACUAGUGUAAAACCAUUCAAACGGGAAAACCAACGGUCUAAUCUAUAUAAAAAACGAGAAACGAGAAACACGUAUAAAUUACAUAAACAAAUGACA